rnacentral:rRNA from 1 species
UCAAGCUACAAAGGGCGCAUGGUGAAUGCCUUGGCAUCAGGAGCCGAUGAAGGACGUGAUAAGCUGCGAUAAGCUUCGGGUAGGCGCACAUAGCCUGAGAUCCGAAGAUCUCCGAAUGAGGAAACUCACAUGGGAAACCCCAUGUAUCAUUAAGUGAAUACAUAGCUUAAUGAAGGUAACCCAGGGAACUGAAACAUCUAAGUACCUGGAGGAAGAGAAAGAAAAAUCGAUUUUCUUAGUAGCGGCGAGCGAAAGGGAAAGAGCCCAAACCGGAAACUUGUUUCCGGGGUUGUGGACAUAACAUAAAAGUGGAGGCUAUUGUAACUGAAGAGAACUGGAAAGUUCCACCGUAGAAGGUAAUAGUCCUGUAAGUGAAACGAGAAGACCACGAGUUAUGAUCCAGAGUACCACGAGACACGUGAAACCUUGUGGGAAGCAGGGAGGACCACCUCCCAAGGCUAAAUACUACCUGAUGACCGAUAGUGAAGCAGUACCGUGAGGGAAAGGUGAAAAGAACCCCGGGAGGGGAGUGAAAUAGAACCUGAAACCGUGUGCCUACAACCGCUCAGAGCCCCUUAUGAGGGUGAUGAGGUGCUUUUUGUAGAACGAGCCAACGAGUUACGGUAUGUAGCAAGGUUAAGUACUUAAGGUACGGAGCCGAAGGGAAACCGAGUCUGAAUAGGGCGACUAGUUGCAUGCCGUAGACCCGAAACCGGGUGACCUAUCCAUGGCCAGGUUGAAGCGAGGGUAAAACCUCGUGGAGGACCGAACCACGUUGCUGUUGAAAAAGCAUGGGAUGAGCUGUGGAUAGCGGAGAAAUUCCAAUCGAACCCGGAGAUAGCUGGUUCUCUCCGAAAUAGCUUUAGGGCUAGCGUCGAGUAUGAGUAGUGGAGGUAGAGCACUGAAUGGGCUAGGGGGCAUAGCGCUUACCGAACCUUAUCAAACUCCGAAUGCCACAUACUUUGAGCUCGGCAGUCAGACUACGAAUGAUAAGAUCCGUGGUCAAAAGGGAAACAGCCCAGAUCGUCAGCUAAGGUCCCAAAGUGUAAGUUAAGUGGGAAAGGAUGUGAGAUUUCUAAGACAACUAGGAUGUUGGCUUAGAAGCAGCCAUUCAUUAAAAGAGUGCGUAAUAGCUCACUAGUCGAGAGAUCUUGCGCCGAAAAUGUAACGGGGCUAAACUUACCACCGAAGCUACGGGCUUGAACUUAGUUCAAGCGGUAGGAGAGCGUCGUAACCGGGCUGAAGUCGUACCGUAAGGAGCGGUGGACUGGUUACGAGUGAGAAUGUUGGCAUCAGUAGCGAGAUGUGGGUGAGAAUCCCACAGGCCGAAAACCUAAGGUUUCCUCAGGAAGGUUCGUCCGCUGAGGGUUAGUCGGGACCUAAGCCGAGGCCGAAAGGCGUAGGUGAUGGACAACUGGUUGAUAUUCCAGUACCACUACCAUCGUUAUUAUCGAUGGCGUGACGCAGGAGGAUAGUGUGUGCUAGCUAUUGGAUGCUAGUCUAAGCGUUUAGGCAGUGAGAGUAGGCAAAUCCGCUCUCAUAAUGCUGAGGCGUGAUGGGGAAGGUUCUACGGAACCGAAGUACAUGAUUCCACGCUGCCAAGAAAAGCGUCUAGAGAGAGAAGUAGUGCCCGUACCGCAAACCGACACAGGUAGGUGAGGAGAGAAUCCUAAGGCCGGCGGAAGAAUUACAGUUAAGGAACUCGGCAAAUUGACCCCGUAAGUUCGCGAGAAGGGGUGCCUACGAGAGUAGGCCGCAGAGAAUAGGCCCAAGCAACUGUUUAGCAAAAACACAGGUCUCUGCUAAAGCGUAAGCUGAUGUAUAGGGGCUGACGCCUGCCCGGUGCUGGAAGGUUAAGGGGAACACUUAGCGCAAGCGAAGGUGUGAACUUAAGCCCCAGUAAACGGCGGCCGUAACUAUAACGGUCCUAAGGUAGCGAAAUUCCUUGUCAGGUAAGUUCUGACCCGC